CUGGAUUAUUAACAAGAGCUCCAAGUAUGCCUCCAAAGUCAAAUGAAGAAGGGUAUGCUGUGCUCUCAGUACGUGGAUAGUUAUAGGCGCACCCGAGAGAGAGAGAGAGAGAGAGAGAGAGAGAGAGAGAGAGAGAGAGAGAGAGAGAGAGAUGCUUUUCUGGUAGGUGAUGAGAGUCCAAGGCAUCGACGACAGCUCCAGUGAUUUGAUGACGACGAUGCGAUGAGGAGGGCUCCGGCGGUUUGAUGAAGACGAUAGAGAGAAUAGAGCAGCGAUGAGAGGGAUGAGAGGAUGAGAGGGUUGAGAGCGAGCGAGAGAACGAGAGGUAUGAGAGAAGAGAGAGCCUGAGCUGCCUGGGUUUG